AUUGAACGCUGGCGGCAUGCUUUACACAUGCAAGUCGAACGGCAGCACGGACUUCGGUCUGGUGGCGAGUGGCGAACGGGUGAGUAAUACAUCGGAACGUGCCUAGUAGUGGGGGAUAACUACUCGAAAGAGUGGCUAAUACCGCAUGAGAUCUACGGAUGAAAGCAGGGGACCUUCGGGCCUUGUGCUACUAGAGCGGCUGGUGGCAGAUUAGGUAGUUGGUGGGGUAAAGGCUUACCAAGCCUGCGAUCUGUAGCUGGUCUGAGAGGACGACCAGCCACACUGGGACUGAGACACGGCCCAGACUCCUACGGGAGGCAGCAGUGGGGAAUUUUGGACAAUGGGCGCAAGCCUGAUCCAGCAAUGCCGCGUGAGUGAAGAAGGCCUCGGUUGUAAGCUCUUUCUAGUUGAGAAGAAAAGUACGUAGACUAAUAAUACAUGAUUCAUGACGGUAGUACAACAAGAAGAAGAC
rnacentral:rRNA from 1 species